rnacentral:rRNA from 1 species
GAUUCCCCUAGUAACUGCGAGUGAAGCGGGAAAAGCUCAAAUUUAAAAUCUGGCGGUCUCUGGCCGUCCGAGUUGUAAUCUAGAGAAGUGAUGCCCGCGCUGGACCGUGUACAAGUCUCCUGGAAUGGAGCGUCAUAGAGGGUGAGAAUCCCGUCUCUGACACGGACUACCAGGGCUUUGUGGUACGCUCUCAAAGAGUCGAGUUGUUUGGGAAUGCAGCUCAAAAUGGGUGGUAAAUUCCAUCUAAAGCUAAAUAUUGGCGAGAGACCGAUAGCGAACAAGUACCGUGAGGGAAAGAUGAAAAGAACUUUGGAAAGAGAGUUAAACAGUACGUGAAAUUGCUGAAAGGGAAACGCUUGAAGUCAGUCGCGUUGGCCGGGGAUCAGCCUCGCUNUUGCGUGGUGUACUUUCCGGUUGACGGGUCAGCAUCAAUUUUGACCGCUGGAAAAAGGCUUGAGGAAUGUGGCAGCUCCGGCUGUGUUAUAGCUUCUUGUCACAUACAGCGGUUGGGAUUGAGGUACUCAGCACGCCGCAAGGCCGGGUUUCGACCACGUUCGUGCUUAGGAUGCUGGCAUAAUGGCUUUAAGCGACCCGUCUUGAAACACGGACCAAGGAGUCUAACAUGCCUGCGAGUGUUUGGGUGGAAAACCCGAGCGCGUAAUGAAAGUGAAAGUUGAGAUCCCUGUCGCGGGGAGCAUCGACGCCCGGACCAGAACUUUUGGGACGGAUCCGCGGUAGAGCAUGUAUGUUGGGACCCGAAAGAUGGUGAACUAUGCCUGAAUAGGGUGAAGCCAGAGGAAACUCUGGUGGAGGCUCGUAGC